AAUGAACGUUGGCGGCGUGGAUUAGGCAUGCAAGUCGUGCGGCAGCAGGUCCUUCGGGAUGCUGGCGAGCGGCGAAAGGGAGAGUAACGCGUGGGUGACCUACCCUUGGGUCUGGGAUAGCGACGGGAAACUGUCGGUAAUACCGGAUAACGUCUCCGGACCAAAGGUGUGAUUCCGCCUGGGGAUGGGCCCGCGUCCUAUUAGCUUGUUGGUGAGGUAACGGCUCACCAAGGCCGCGAUGGGUACCGGGUGUGAGAGCAUGGCCCGGCUCACUGGGACUGAGACACUGCCCAGACACCUACGGGUGGCUGCAGUCGAGAAUCUUCGGCAAUGGGCGCAAGCCUGACCGAGCGACGCCGCGUGCGGGAUGAAGGCCCUCGGGUUGUAAACCGCUGUCGGAGGGGAGGAAUACAAUCAGGUCAUCCUGGUUUGUUUGACCUAUCCUCAAAGGAAGUACGGGCUAAGUUCGUGCCAGCAACCGCGGUAAU
rnacentral:rRNA from 1 species